rnacentral:rRNA from 1 species
GACGAACGCUGGCGGCGUGCUUAACACAUGCAGGUCGAACGGAAAGGCCCUGCUUUUGUGGGGUGCUCGAGUGGCGAACGGGUGAGUAACACGUGAGUAACCUGCCCUUGACUUUGGGAUAACUUCAGGAAACUGGGGCUAAUACCGGAUAGGAGCUCCUGCUGCAUGGUGGGGGUUGGAAAGUUUCGGCGGUUGGGGAUGGACUCGCGGCUUAUCAGCUUGUUGGUGGGGUAGUGGCUUACCAAGGCUUUGACGGGUAGCCGGCCUGAGAGGGUGACCGGCCACAUUGGGACUGAGAUACGGCCCAGACUCCUACGGGAGGCAGCAGUGGGGAAUAUUGCACAAUGGGCGGAAGCCUGAUGCACCAACGCCGCGUGCGGGAUGACGGCCUUCGGGUUGUAAACCGCUUUCGCCUGUGACGAAGCGUGAGUGACGGUAAUGGGUAAAGAAGCACCGGCUAACUACGUG